rnacentral:lncRNA from 1 species
GUAAGACGUGACUUUGCUCCUCAUUCACCUUCCACCGAGAUUGUGAGGCCUCCUUAACCAUGUGGAACUGUCUCUCAUUCCACCUAACGAGAAACGCCCACAGGUGUGGAGGGGCAACCCACCCCUUCAAUCAGGAACCUCAGAAUGUGACAUUUGGAAAUUGGGAGGUUGCAGAUGUAACGAAUUAACUUGGCGACAUACUGGAGUAAGGUGGGCCCUUCACACCCUAUGACUGGUAUCCUUAUAAGAAGAAAAGAAGAGACUCAGAGGGAAGACAGCUGUGUGCAGCUGGAAUGAUGCAUCUGAAGCCAAGGAAUGCCGUGCAUUGCCGGCCACCAUCCAAAACUAGAAAAAGUCAGGAAGGAUUCUUCCCUAGAACCUUCAAAGGCAGUACAGCCCUGCCAACACCUGCAUUCAGCCUCUGGCCUCCAGAACUGUGAGAGGAUGAAUUUCUGUUGUUUUCAGCCACCCAAGCUUAGGAAAUGGGUUGCAGCAGACUGGGAAUAAGACAGGCAGCCAGUCAGCCUCCGUGGAAUUCCCAGGCAGCUUGCAGGAGCCAGAGUGGGCCCUGGGCUCUGAGAAGGUCUGAGGCCCAGCAGGCGCAGGGGCCUAAACUAUUUCUCGGCAAGGAGGAAGGAAGGUUCAUCCAGAACGUAGAUCCCCUUCCUCCUUCUGACACCUCACGAGGUCACAGCGAGGUGGCUGGGAGGAGAGCCAGGAAGUUUUCACUGAGGUGUGUGGGAGACAGCUUGGCAGCCCUUGGUCUCUGAAGGGAGGAGGUGGUGUGAAGGAGGGCAGCUUCAGAACUUCCCAGUUCCUGCCUGAUGACCUGUGUGUAAAGUAUUCCCGUUUAGGUUUCAACAUCCUCUCAGAAAUAUAAUUCUCAGAAAAUCCAGGCACCCAAUCCAGCUCCCUGGCAUUCCCUGAAAUCUGAAGUCAAAGGGGCUGAGCCAGCCUGCCCUGGGUGUCAGGUCUCUGAGCCCAAGAUAAGCCAUCAUAUCCCCUGUGACCUGCACAUACACAUCCAGAUGGCUGGUUCCUGCCUUAACUGAUGACAUUCCUCCACAAAAGAAGUGAAAAUGGUCUGUUCCUGCCUUAACUGAUGACAUUCCUCCACAAAAGAAGUGAAAAUGGUCUGUUCCUGCCUUAACUGAUGACAUUGUCUUGUGAAAUUCCUUCUCCUGGCUCAUUCUGGCUCAAAACCUCCCCCACUGAGUACCUUCUGACCCCCACUCUGCCUGCCAGAGAACAAACCCCCUUUGACUGUAAUUUUCCUUUGCCUACCCAAAUCCUAUAAAAUGGCCCCACCCCUAUCUCCCUUUGCUGACUCUCUUUCAGACCCAGCCCACCUGCACCCAGGUGAAAUAAACAGCCAUGUUGCUCACAAAGUCUGUUUGGUGGUCUCUUCACAUGGACGCACAUGAAAUUUGGUGCUGUGACUCGGAUGGGGGGCCUCCCUUGGGAGAUCAAUCCCAUGUCCUCCUGUUCUUUGCUCCAUGAAAAAGAUCCGCCUACAACCUCAGGUCCUCAGACCCAGCAGCCCAAGGAACAUCUCACCAAUUUUAAAUCCGACUCAGCCCGCCUGCACCCCGGUGAAAUAAACAGCCAUGUUGCUCACACAAAGCCUGUUUGGUGGUCUCUUCACGCGGACGCGCAUGAAACUGGGGUCCUCAUGCCCACCAGUCCAGAGUGCUCUCUAGAGGAAGGCUACAGACACUUCCUGGCUCGCUCAUCCAGACGUUAGCUGUCUUGCUGAAAUGCCUUUUUUCACCCUUGAAAACCACUGGAAGAAUGGCCAAGAACCCAGCUAUCCUGAGGAUGCAGCGUCCCUCAAACUGCAGAGCCACUUGGCGAUGAAGCCAGGAU